rnacentral:rRNA from 1 species
ACGCGUGGAACCUUACCAGGUCUUGACAUCCUCUGACACUCCUAGAGAUAGGACGUUCCCCUUCGGGGGACAGAGUGACAGGUGGUGCAUGGUUGUCGUCAGCUCGUGUCGUGAGAUGUUGGGUUAAGUCCCGCAACGAGCGCAACCCUUGAUCUUAGUUGCCAGCAUUAAGUUGGGCACUCUAAGGUGACUGCCGGUGACAAACCGGAGGAAGGUGGGGAUGACGUCAAAUCAUCAUGCCCCUUAUGACCUGGGCUACACACGUGCUACAAUGGAUGGUACAAAGGGCAGCAAAACCGCGAGGUCGAGCAAAUCCCAUAAAACCAUUCUCAGUUCGGAUUGUAGGCUGCAACUCGCCUACAUGAAGCUGGAAUCGCUAGUAAUCGCGGAUCAGCAUGCCGCGGUGAAUACGUUCCCGGGCCUUGUACACACCGCCCGU